CCUACGGGGGGCAGCAGUGGGGAAUAUUGCACAAUGGGCGCAAGCCUGAUGCAGCCAUGCCGCGUGUGUGAAGAAGGCCUUCGGGUUGUAAAGCACUUUCAGCGGGGAGGAAGGCGGUGAGGUUAAUAACCUCAUCGAUUGACGUUACCCGCAGAAGAAGCACCGGCUAACUCCGUGCCAGCAGCCGCGGUAAUACGGAGGGUGCAAGCGUUAAUCGGAAUUACUGGGCGUAAAGCGCACGCAGGCGGCCUGACGAGUCGGAUGUGAAAUCCCCGGGCUCAACCUGGGAACUGCAUUCGAAACUGGCAGGCUAGAGUCUUGUAGAGGGGGGUAGAAUUCCAGGUGUAGCGGUGAAAUGCGUAGAGAUCUGGAGGAAUACCGGUGGCGAAGGCGGCCCCCUGGACAAAGACUGACGCUCAGGUGCGAAAGCGUGGGGAGCAAACAGGAUUAGAUACCCUAGUGGUC
rnacentral:rRNA from 1 species